rnacentral:lncRNA from 1 species
UGUAAAGUUUUCUACCAAAACCUGCAAUUUUGGUUUGAGCUAAAGGUGCACAUUUGGACUCCUGUUUGAAUCUGUGCUGAGCCUGUGCAGAUGCUGAUGAAGUGGGCAGACCUGCUACCCAGAAGGAAAUCUUCACCAAGAGGCCAAGGCUGGCAUGAACAAGAGCCUGUGCAGCCUGAGCAAACUCAUCUAAAGAUGGGCUGGUGACCACAGCCAUGGCCAAGGGAUCCAGCAGGGAUAACAUAUCCUGAUUAGGAAGCAACAGUGCCUGAGAGCUGUAG